UGGAGCUCCUUACGUAUUCUCACC
rnacentral:siRNA from 1 species